GAUGAACGCUGGCGGCGUGCCUAAUACAUGCAAGUCGAGCGAACGGACGAGAAGCUUGCUUCUCUGAUGUUAGCGGCGGACGGGUGAGUAACACGUGGAUAACCUACCUAUAAGACUGGGAUAACUUCGGGAAACCGUAGCUAAUACCGGAUAAUAUUUUGAACCGCAUGGUUCAAAAGUGAAAGACGGUCUUGCUGUCACUUAUAGAUGGACCCGCGCUGCAUUAGCUAGUUGGUAAGGUAACGGCUUACCAAGGCAACGAUGCAUAGCCGACCUGAGAGGGUGAUCGGCCACACUGGAACUGAGACACGGUCCAGACUCCUACGGGAGGCAGCAGUAGGGAAUCUUCCGCAAUGGGCGAAAGCCUGACGGAGCAACGCCGCGUGAGUGAUGAAGGUCUUCGGAUCGUAAAACUCUGUUAUUAGGGAAGAACAUAUGUGUAAGUAACUGUGCACAUCUUGACGGUACCUAAUCAGAAAGCCACGGCUAACUACGUGCCAGCAGCCGCGGUAAUACGUAGGUGGCAAGCGUUAUCCGGAAUUAUUGGGCGUAAAGCGCGCGUAGGCGGUUUUUUAAGUCUGAUGUGAAAGCCCACGGCUCAACCGUGGAGGGUCAUUGGAAACUGGAAAACUUGAGUGCAGAAGAGGAAAGUGGAAUUCCAUGUGUAGCGGUGAAAUGCGCAGAGAUAUGGAGGAACACCAGUGGCGAAGGCGACUUUCUGGUCUGUAACUGACGCUGAUGUGCGAAAGCGUGGGGAUCAAACAGGAUUAGAUACCCUGGUAGUCCACGCCGUAAACGAUGAGUGCUAAGUGUUAGGGGGUUUCCGCCCCUUAGUGCUGCAGCUAACGCAUUAAGCACUCCGCCUGGGGAGUACGACCGCAAGGUUGAAACUCAAAGGAAUUGACGGGGACCCGCACAAGCGGUGGAGCAUGUGGUUUAAUUCGAAGCAACGCGAAGAACCUUACCAAAUCUUGACAUCCUUUGACAACUCUAGAGAUAGAGCCUUCCCCUUCGGGGGACAAAGUGACAGGUGGUGCAUGGUUGUCGUCAGCUCGUGUCGUGAGAUGUUGGGUUAAGUCCCGCAACGAGCGCAACCCUUAAGCUUAGUUGCCAUCAUUAAGUUGGGCACUCUAAGUUGACUGCCGGUGACAAACCGGAGGAAGGUGGGGAUGACGUCAAAUCAUCAUGCCCCUUAUGAUUUGGGCUACACACGUGCUACAAUGGACAAUACAAAGGGCAGCGAAACCGCGAGGUCAAGCAAAUCCCAUAAAGUUGUUCUCAGUUCGGAUUGUAGUCUGCAACUCGACUACAUGAAGCUGGAAUCGCUAGUAAUCGUAGAUCAGCAUGCUACGGUGAAUACGUUCCCGGGUCU
rnacentral:rRNA from 1 species